rnacentral:lncRNA from 1 species
CCGCCGCUUCCUGCCCUGAAAGGGGAAGGGAGGCGGCUCCGAGGGCCGGGGAGGGGCAGGAUGGGCCCGAGGGGCUUUGGGGGGCUCUGCCUGGCCCUGCUCUGCUCCGGGGCCGGUGAGUGGGGCCGGGGGGGCUCGGGGUGUGGGGCUGGAGCCAGGAUGAGGAGGAUGAGGAAGAGGAAGGGGCUGAAGGUCCCUGCAGGGCUUUUCCUGGGGGUUAAGCUCAGCUUUGGGUUGAGCCUGGCUUUGCUGAGGGCGGUUUGUGUUCCCAGGAGGGUUUUGGGGUCCUCUGAGCUGUCCCAGCUCCCCAAAUCCACCCCAGCCCACCCUGGCGCAGCACCAGGAGGGGCUUUUGGACCGUUUUGGGUUGGUUUUGUUGAUUUUGUUGGUUUUGGGUUGGUUUUGUUGGUUUUGGGUGGGUUUUGUUGAUUUUGUUGGUUUUGGGUGGGUUUUGUUGGUUUUGUUGGUUUUGGGUCGGUUUUGUUGGUUUUGGGUUGGUUUUGUUGAUUUUGUUGGUUUUGGGUCGGUUUUGUUGGUUUUAAUCUCAGCAGGGCCGCCAAUGGGACUUGGGUGGUCCUGGCGGGUCCUUCCACUCCCACCCCCCAAUUCCAUGCCCCAAACGGGGACGUUUUGGGAUAUUUUGGGCUAUUUUAUAAUUCCCUGCUGGUGGCACAGCCCCAAAACCUCCUGGGUUUCGGGACAGCCCCAGGGCAGCCCCAGCCCCCAUUUCCCACGGUGAAAACCCGACAGGUUUGGGGUUUUUGCUGUCGGGGGCGAGGUGUGAGACCCACGGGAUGUGGGGCCGCUGCUCUGCUCAGGCUCAGCCCCCUCGGGGAGCUGUGGGACCUCCUGAGAUGGAAAAACCCACCCGGAUCGUCCAACCCAGCCCCAGGCCAUCCCCAAAUCCCCAAAAUCCCCAAAAUCCCCCAAAAUCCCCAAAAUCCCCCAAAAUCCCCCAAAACUCCCAAAACCCCAAACUACCCCAAACUACCCAAAACCCCAAACCCCAAAACUACCCCAAACCCCAAACCUACCCCAAACUACCUACCCAAACUACCCCAAACUACCCCGAAACUACCUACCAAACUACCCCAAACUACCCCAAACUACCCCAAACUACCCAAAACCCCAAACUACCCCAAACUACCCCAAACUACCCUAAACUACCCAAACUACCCCAAACCCAACCCCAAACUACCCNNNNNNNNNNNNNNNNNNNNAUCCCCAAAUCCCCAAAAUCCCAAAUCCCCAAAUCCCCAAACCCCCAAAUUCCCAAAUCUCCAAAUCCCAAAUCCCCAAAUCCCCAAAUCCCCAAAUUCCCAAAUCUCCAAAUCCCAAAUCCCCAAAUCCCCAAAUCCCAAAUCCCAAAAUCCCAAAAUCCCCAAAUCCCCAAAUCCCAAAUCCCAAAAUCCCAAAACCCCCAAAUCCCAAAUCCCGCCCGGUGUCUGGGAGGGGUUUCCAGACCCUCCUGGAGGUUUUGGGGUCGGGGUCAUUCCCUGGGGAGCUGUUCCAGAGCCCCCAAACCCUCUGGGGACAGAAUUUCAGGGAUCUCCCCCCCAAAUCCCACCUGGGACAUCUCCUGGGAUCCCCCUCGGAAUUCCCGGGAUUUUUUCCGUCUCCUCUUUCCCAGAAUUUCCUUUUGGGGCCCCUCCUGACCUUUCAGCCGCUGGCGAUGUCCCCAGACUGUGUCCCACGUCCCCUGAGGGGACAUCGGGGUGGAUAUUCCUGUUCCCGACCCCCGAAUUUGGGGGAGAAGGAGCAAAUCCCAAAUCCCAGGAAUUCCCAGCUCUCGGCUUCCAGGAAGAGGAGCCAGGGAACGGGACUGGGAACGGGAACGGGAACGUCACCGAGGAGAGCCCGGAGGGGACACCAGGACACCCCAGCACGGCCACCGGGGAUGGGGACGCGGUGACAGCGCGGCCGAGGGCCACCACGAGCCCUCCUGGGAGCCUUGGGGACCUCGCGGUGACACCGGCGGGGAACCAGACCCGAGCCUCCUGGGGUGUCCCAGCCCGGUUCUGGUCCCCCGUCAUCUUCGUGGGGCUGGCCCUGCUCGGGCUCUUUGUCACCUACCAGAGGAACAAGGACAAAGGGAUCCGGGAGCGGGCCCCGAGCGGCAGCGACUCCUCAGGUGAGCCCUGGGGGGCCGCGGCACUGGGGGAACUGGUUUUACUGGGAGCUUUGAUUUUAUUGGGAGAUUUUGAUUUUAUUGGGAGAUUUUCUCUUUUAUUUUUUAUUGAAUAUUUGAUAUUUUGAUAUUUCGUUGCAUUGGGG